rnacentral:rRNA from 1 species
UACAGAGGUCCCAAGCGUUGUUCGGAUUCAUUGGGCGUAAAGGGUGCGUAGGCGGCGCGGGAAGUCGGGUGUGAAAUCUCGGAGCUUAACUCCGAAACUGCAUUCGAUACUGCCGUGCUUGAGGACUGGAGAGGAGACUGGAAUUUACGGUGUAGCGGUGAAAUGCGUAGAUAUCGUAAGGAACACCAGUGGCGAAGGCGGCUCACUGGCCCGUAACUGACGCUGAGGCACGAAAGCGUGGGGAGCAAACAGG